AGAGUUGAUCCUGGCUUAGACGAACGCUGGCGGCAGGCCUAACACAUGCAAGUCGAGCGCGCCCUUCGGGGUGAGCGGCGGACGGGUUAGUAACGCGUGGGAACGUACCCUUUGGUAGGGAAUAGCCACUGGAAACGGUGAGUAAUACCCUAUGAGCCCUUCGGGGGGAAAGAUUUAUCGCCAAAGGAUCGGCCGCGUUAGAUUAGGUAGUUGGUGGGGUAAUGGCCUACCAAGCCUACGAUCUAUAGCUGGUUUUAGAGGAUGAUCAGCAACACUGGGACUGAGACACGGCUCAGACUCCUACGGGAGGCAGCAGUGGGGAAUCUUGGACAAUGGGGGGCAACCCUGAAUCCAGCCAUGCCGCGUGAGUGAAGAAGGCCUUAGGGUCGUAAAGCUCUUUCGCCUGUGAAGAUAAUGACGGUAGCAGGUAAAGAAACCCCGGCUAACUCCGUGCCAGCCGCCGC
rnacentral:rRNA from 1 species